CGUGCCGUCCGCCUGGACCGCCGCGCCGUCCUACCUCAUCCUCGCCUCCCAAGGACCUCGGCAAUCGGGAAAUGUUUAAUUUGAUCUCGCCUGCAACACCGUCGCUGUCGGGAAGUCGUCCAAUGAGAUCCGUGCGCAUCAGACCUGGCGGUGGCUCCUCUCCUCAGCCGGACCCAAAGCUGGAGAAGGCGCUGCUGGCUGUCCACUUCAUCGGCUACUUCACCCGGGAUGGCGUCGCAGGCAUAUCGUUGUCAAGUUGGUGUUAAAAUCAAUGUACGCAUAUUCUUAGAUCUGAUUAGGGUCGUCGAGGAGAAGAACGGUGGCCCGGACCGCAUACACAUUAUGGAACGCAACUUGCGGACAAUGUGCGUGGAGAAGAGAUCCUGAGGAGGAGAGGAUAUUGGAUCUGAGUGCGCGAGGGAGAAGCAAAAGGAUAUUCAGAAAGUACAGUCUGCAGUAUAUACAUUGAAAUAUUCCCAAUCUCCCCGCUGCUUCUGACGAAGUAUCAAUCUCGGACUGAUUGCUCUCUUCUUGUGGUCUUACAAGACUUGAAAUAUUGGUAUGUCCCAUACAUUGUCUUAAUGCAUUAGUUUUGUUAUAUUUGCAGUGUGCACAUGACUCUUUCUUAUCUUUAUUUAUUAAUAACAAAUAAACAACAUUGUUUGUUAUCUUUACUUAUUAAUAAAAGUAAGUAGGAAUUCUGGAUAAUGACUUAUGAAUAACAAUAUGUAGAAAUUCUGAAUAAAAAAGUACAUGAGAAAUAUGGUAUCCACCUUAACAGAGCAAUAAUAAUUUUAGUUGCUGAGAGGUUGACGUUGAAAUUUUUAGAGAGCUAGACCCAUCUUGUAUGCCAACAUUGGUCUUUAGAUUAGUCAGUGUUGUGUUGCAGCAUAUGUUCGCUAUAGAAUAUGUUUAGGAUUUCUAUAGAAUUUGAUCUGCAGGAUUUUGAUACUAAUGUCUACAUCCUUAUAAAGAUGUUUCAUGUUUCUGAAAUGAAUUUUGUCUAUGUGAAGAUAAGAAAGAGUGGAUAGCAGUAGCGGGUCUUAAAUUUGCAAGCUUUUCUUCAAGCAAGUUAAUCAUAUGUACUAAAUGUUUGUCAAAUUAUAAUUAAAGGUGAAUGGUUUGUUACAAAUCUAGCAUACAUCUUUUUUAUCUCUAUCUUGGUGCACAUAUAACUUACACAAUGUGAAGUUGUAUAUUAAAGUAUGAUGUUUCCAAAACGAAUGCCAAACAUAAGGGGAGUAUGUCAACUUCCAAACAUUGAAGAGGGGUGUAUAACAUCGUUGAUUUUGGCUCUUGUUGCUAUAGAUGGGAGGAUAAUACAUCUCUACUCUGUCCUUUACAUAAUUCUUGCCGUGGUUUUAGUUCAAAUUUGAACUCCUCACAAGAAUUAGAAUUCUGCAUGAAUUGGAGGGAGUACUUUGGUGCUUUAUUCUUUAAUUCUUAAUUAUCUCUCAUAUGUGUGCUCGUAAGCAUUUCGUUGAAUGAUUUGCUACCAUGACAACACAAAAUUCAGUUCACUAGUUCUUGAUUGGAUAUCUGAUUGAACAAAGAAAUGUAUAUUUAGGCAUUUGACAGGUUUCAUGUCUGAAAUUCCAGACUAGGCAUUAGUAAAUGAAUAGAUAUACAAGGAGUAGUCUUUAAGUAAGGUCAGUACAAGAAGGUGAUCAUAGCAUCAGAUUGUCCUAACUUGGUGCAAAAUUAUGGUCAUCACGCAUGGGCAUAUCUCUUUCAGGACCAAAUCCAAGACAUAAGUCAAUGCUGGCUACCUUUUGGUGUAUUUAUUUGUUUUUGUUAGUUGAUGGUUCUCUUUUAUUGGCUAGAUCAGCUAUCCAACUUGUAUCUGUUUCGUUGUAUGAGGCUCCAGGGUUAAUCCUAGCUCGUGUGAUGAACAAUUCAAUCAAAAAGUUGUUUGUUUCAUAUUUGGAUUAUCAAGGAUAUAUUUGUAUAUCAAUAGUCAAUUUUGAAACAUAACAAGCAAGACCAUGCCCUUUUGGCCGGCCGAAAGAAAAAGUCCCCUUGGUCCUUUCUUUGCACCAAUCCUUGUGCAACCACGAUGACAAAACACUUGAGUUCCUAGAUUGAAAAGAAUAAAUCAACUUAGGUUAUACUAGAGUAUUGCAGAUGAUGUUGUUUAUGAUCAUUCAUCGACAACACACUUCAGAAACUAACUUUCUCCAAAAAGCAAG